GACGAACGCUGGCGGCGUGCCUAACACAUGCAAGUCGAGCGAGUGGAUCUCCUUCGGGAGUGAAGCUAGCGGCGGACGGGUGAGUAACACGUGGGCAACCUGCCUCAUAGAGGGAAUAGCCUUUCGAAAGGAAGAUUAAUACCGCAUAAGAUUGUAGCUUCGCAUGAAGUAGCAAUUAAAGGAGCAAUCCGCUAUGAGAUGGGCCCGCGGCGCAUUAGCUAGUUGGUGAGGUAACGGCUCACCAAGGCGACGAUGCGUAGCCGACCUGAGAGGGGGAUCGGCCACAUUGGGACUGAGACACGGCCCAGACUCCUACGGGAGGCAGCAGUGGGGAAUAUUGCACAAUGGGGGAAACCCUGAUGCAGCAACGCCGCGUGAGUGAUGACGGCCUUCGGGUUGUAAAGCUCUGUCUUCAGGGACGAUAAUGACGGUACCUGAGGAGGAAGCCACGGCUAACUACGUGCCAGCCGCCGCAGUAA
rnacentral:rRNA from 1 species